rnacentral:rRNA from 1 species
GUCUUUUUGAAUUUAAUUUAAAGUCUAAUCUGCCCACUGAUAAUAAUAAUUAAAUGGCCGCAGUAUUUUAACUGUGCAAAGGUAGCAUAAUCAUUAGUCUUUUAAUUGAGGGCUGGAAUGAAUGAUUGGACGAGAAAUAAUCUGUCUCAUAAAAAUUUUUUUUAAAAUUUUAUUUUUUAGUUAAAAAGCUGAAAUAAAUUUAAAAGACGAGAAGACCCUAUAGAUCUUUAUAUAAAUUAUAUAAUUUAUUUAUAAGAUAAUUUAUAUAAUUAUAUUUAUUUAUAUUUUGUUGGGGUGACAUUGAAAUUUAAAAAACUUUCAAAUAUUAUUUAACAUUUAUUAAUGAUUUAUAUUGAUCCUGUAUUAUGGAUAUAAAGAUUAAGUUACCUUAGGGAUAACAGCGUAAUUAUUUCGGAGAGUUCUUAUUGAUGAAAUAGAUUGCGACCUCGAUGUUGGAUUAAGAUUAAUAAUAGGGGUAGUUUCUUAUUGUAUUAAGUCUGUUCGACUUUUAAAUUCUU